UGUACCGAUGGGAACAACUAUACCUGAAUCAAGAGUCACUUUGGUUAUCUGACAGAUCUAUACAUCGCGGGCGGUUUAUGUGUGCGUGCGAAUAAGGGCAUUCAAAGAGCGGCAGUUUACGGUUAGACAGGAACGGGAACGCAUCGGUACAAUGGCGACGACGCUGAAAAUUGGUGAGUAAAGUGAAAACGGCCGAAAACCUCGAAAUAAUGUGGAACUGCGAUACGAACUGGAGAAAAGUGAAAACAUGAGAACAAUUAGAUCAACGUUCCCGUUCUUCUGGGCGAUUGAAAACCGUUUUUAAGCGAAAAAAAAAUGGAUUCGGCAUCAUAAAAGAAUGGGGCCCACCGACGCUGGGGCAUAGUACCCUUCCUGAACUAGCGUGGGUUUUUAUUUGGGGUUAUGUUGAUUGAAACCAUGAAUGGUGAUUAUUGAUGGGAGUUGCAUAUGUGUUCGUGACAUAAUUGAAUGAUUCAUCGUUGAUUUGCUCUCACUAUCCGAACCUCAUGUCAAGUGUCAAUUUGUUUUUGCUCUCGUCGGUUUUUUUUUAAGAUCGUUUCGCGUAUUUGUAAACAUACUUUUUUUUACCGUCUAUGCCAGUGGUGACAUGCUCCAUAAUGUUCAGACGCAACAGUGGUUCCUCCGUUCAAACCAGGACACGACACUCGUAGCGAUUGGCUCAAAUGGAAACGCGUAUUGGAGCGCUAUUUGAAGCUGAGCAAAGUGACCGAUGAAGAAGAGAAAUGUGACCUGUUGUUGGUACUCGGUGGUAUUGAAUUGCAAGACCAAUAUGAGAAAAUUGUCCAUUAUGAAGUUAUGAC